GUCCACGCCCUAAACGAUGGGGACUAAGUGUCGGAGGUAUCGACCCCUCCGGUGCCGCAGCUAACGCAUUAAGUCCCCCGCCUGGGGGGUACGGCCGCAAGGUUGAAACUCAAAGGAAUUGACGGGGGCCCGCACAAGCGGUGGAGCAUGUGGUUUAAUUCGACGCAACGCGAAGAACCUUACCCAGACUUGACAUGUGAGUGGUAGUGAACCGAAAGGGGAACGACCCCGCAAGGGGAGCUCACACAGGUGCUGCAUGGCUGUCGU
rnacentral:rRNA from 1 species